rnacentral:rRNA from 1 species
UACAGAGGGUGCAAGCGUUGUUCGGAAUUAUUGGGCGUAAAGCGCGUGUAGGCGGCUUUGCAAGUCGGUGUGAAUCCCUCAGCUUAACUGAGGAAGUGCGCCCGAACUGCCGAGCUUGAGUACCGGAGAGGGUGGCGGAAUUCCCCGAAGUAGAGGGUGAAAAUUCGUAGAUAUGGGAGGAACACCGGUGGCGAAGGCGGCCACCUGG